rnacentral:rRNA from 1 species
GACGAACGCUGGCGGCGUGCCUAAUACAUGCAAGUCGAGCGAAGUUUUUCUGGUGCUUGCCCUAGAAAAACUUAGCGGCGAACGGGUGAGUCACACGUAAAGAACCUGCCUCAUAGACUGGGACAACUAUUGGAAACGAUAGCUAAUACCGGAUAACAGUAUUUCUCGCAUGAGAGAUAUUUAAAAGUUGGUUAUGCUAACACUAUGAGAUGGCUUUGCGGUGCAUUAGCUAGUUGGUGGGGUAAAGGCCCACCAAGGCGACGAUGCAUAGCCGACCUGAGAGGGUGAUCGGCCACACUGGGACUGAGACACGGCCCAGACUCCUACGGGAGGCAGCAGUAGGGAAUCUUCCGCAAUGGGCGAAAGCCUGACGGAGCAACGCCGCGUGAGUGAAGAAGGAUUUCGGUUCGUAAAGCUCUGUUGUUAGGGAAGAAUGGAUAUGUAGUAACUAUACAUGUAAGAGACGGUACCUAACCAGAAAGCCACGGCUAACUACGUG